rnacentral:rRNA from 1 species
GACGAACGCUGGCGGCGUGCUUAACACAUGCAAGUCGAACGGAAAGGCCCUGCUUUUGUGGGGUGCUCGAGUGGCGACCGGGUGAGUAACACGUGAGUAACCUGCCCUUGACUUUGGGAUAACUUCAGGCAACUGGGGCUAAUACCGGAUAGGAGCUCCUGCUGCAUGGUGGGGGUUGGAAAGUUUCGGCGGUUGGGGAUGGACUGGCGGCUUAUCAGCUUGUUGGUGGGGUAGUGGCUUACCAAGGCUUUGACGGGUAGCCGGCCUGAGAGGGGGACCGGCCAAAUUGGGACUGAGAUACGGCCCAGACUCCUACGGGAGGCAGCAGUGGGGAAUAUUGCACAAUGGGCGGAAGCCUGAUGCAGCAACGCCGCGUGCGGGAUGACGGCCUUCGGGUUGUAAACCGCUUUCGCCUGUGACGAAGCGUGAGUGACGGUAAUGGGUAAAGAAGCACCGGCUAACUACGUG